rnacentral:tRNA from 1 species
GCGGAUGUGGCGGAACUGGUAGACGCGCAAGCCUAAGGAGCUUGUGUCCGCAAGGUCGUGGAGGUUCAAGUCCUCUCAUCCGCACCA